UCCGGCAUGGUGUAGUGGUUAACAUAGGUGCCUUUCAAGAAAAGUCACGUGGUUUAAAUUGAGUAACUUGAUCGCACUAGCCCGGGGUUCGAUUCCCCGUACCGGAA